rnacentral:rRNA from 1 species
GAUGAACGCUGGCGGCGUGCCUAAUACAUGCAAGUCGAGCGAACGGACGAGAAGCUUGCUUCUCUGAUGUUAUCGGCGGACGGGUGCGUAACACGUGGAUAACCUACCUAUACGACUGGGAUAACUUCGGGAAACCGGAGCUAAUGCCGGAUGAUAUUUUGAACCGCAUGGUUCAAAAGUGAAAGACGGUCUUGCUGUCACUUAUAGAUGGAUCCGCGCUGCAUUAGCUAGUUGGUAAGGUAACGGCUUACCAAGGCAACGAUGCAUAGCCGACCUGAGAGGGUGAUCGGCCACCUGGUAAGUGAGGCACGGCCCAGACUCCUACGCGAGGCAGCAGUACGGAAUCUUCCGCAAUGCGGCAGAGCCUAACAGAGCACCGCCGCGGGAAUGAUGAAGCUCUUCGGAUCCGAAAACGCUGUUAGUAGGGAAGAACAAAUGUGUAAGUAACUGUGCACAUCUUGACGGUACCUAAUCAGAAAGCCACGGCUAACUACGUG